rnacentral:tRNA from 1 species
UCUCUGGUAGUAUAUCGGUUAGUACACGCGCCUGUCACCUGGCCGCGCGAAAGCGGGGUUCGACUCCCCGCCAGAGAG